ACACUAUCCGGAUGAAAAUCAUCACUCAGCUCAAAGCCAAUGAAGAGUUGAAGAAUACAACCAUAAAAAUGGUGGAACAGAGCAAGGUUCUGAACACUCAUGGGGCCGAGAAGCAGAC